rnacentral:tRNA from 1 species
GAGGGUAUAGCUCAGUGGUAGAGCACAUGCUUACACACGCUUAGCAUGCAUGAGGUCCUGGGUUCAAUCUCUAGUGUCUCUG